rnacentral:rRNA from 1 species
UAAUACGGAGGGGGCAAGCGUUGUUCGGAAUCAUUGGGCGUAAAGGGCGUGUAGGCGGCCGAUCAAGUCGGGUGUGAAAUCCCUCGGCUCAACCGAGGAACUGCACUCGAUACUGGUUGGCUAGAGUCCGGGAGGGGAUGGCGGAAUUCCCAGUGUAGCGGUGAAAUGCGUAGAUAUUGGGAAGAACACCGGUAGCGAAGGCGGCCAUCUGGACCGGAACUGACGCUGAGGCGCGAAAGCCAGGGGAGCGAAUGG